rnacentral:tRNA from 1 species
GGUUUUAUAGUCAAGUAUGAUUUUAAAUUGCAAAUUUAAAGGUAGAUUUUAAUCUUUUAACUU